CCUCAAAGGUCGUGCACGCCCGAGCACUCUCACACAAUCCAUCUCACCCCCUUUGUGCAUCACCGCGUGGGUCCCCUUUGCGGGAGGGCUCACGUUUUCACAUAAAACUUGAUACAGUGUAGAAUGCUUCUUUUUUUUGCGGUCACACGCAAUCAAUACAACUUUCAACAACGGAUCUCUUGGCUCUCGCAUCGAUGAAGAACGCAGCGAAAUGCGAUACGUAAUGUGAAUUGCAGAAUUCAGUGAAUCAUCGAAUCUUUGAACGCACCUUGCGCCCCUUGGCAUUCCGAGGGGCACACCCGUUUGAGUGUCGUGAAAUCCUCAAAACCCUUUUCUGCGUUUAGCGAAAAGGACUUUUGGACUUGGAGGUUCAAUGCUCGCUUUUGCUUUUGAAAGCGAGCUCCUCUCAAAUGGAUUAGUGGGGUCCGCUUUGCUGGUCCUUGACGUGAUAAGAUGUUUCUACGUUUUGGAUUUAGCACUGUCCCUUGGAUGCCUGCUCUCUAACCGUCUCACGGACAACGAUGGUGCUCUGGUCA
rnacentral:rRNA from 1 species